rnacentral:lncRNA from 1 species
UCGGUUCUCGAUUGCAUAGAGCUUGAUGAGGCAGUUCCAUGGCCCAGAGGCGAGGGGAUACGUUUUUCUGAUUGGCGUGAUUUCGUAGCUUGCCCUCUUGCUUGCAGAUUGAAGCUCUGUCCUUCAAACCAGCUUUUUAUUUGUGGCAAGGCUGAUAUUUUGAUAUCCACCCAUCGUAUUGCUGUGUCUUUUUCCUUUGUUUCCGAACUGGGACAGGAAGAGCUGAGCAUCCUCGGUUGUGUAAAACCCCGAUUCCACUGGGGGAAGGUGCCUGUGGGUGGCUUUUCUUUUGUCCACUCUCCCAACUUUGGGGAAGGAAUUGAGAGGUGGGUGCAGAAACGCUCGUUCAACUGCGGCGGCAGUCACUGGACGUUAGGGGUUCUGUGGGGCAGAUGGAGUGCUGGGGUCUUCUGUGGGUCCUGGACCCGGCAGGGACCACGGCUGCAGCCUCCAGACGUCAGCCACGUUUCCAGCAGUCGGACGCCCCCUGCCCUGCUGCGCCCGGCCGUCCCUUCCAAGCUCGGUCACCUCCUUCUGCUGCUAAGGUUUUCACCUUUCAUUUCUCCCGGGGUCCCCGCGAACUCCAGCGACCCCGGGGGCCCUCCCGCGCUUGCCCUUCCCUGCCCGGGGCUCCAGGGCUUCUGGCCCCUGUGGUCCGCCAGGCCUGGGGGCCUCGGCCUGACCACCACGAGCACACACCCCGGGCGAAGACUGCGCUGGUCUCAGCUUCCCAGGGACGCCCGGCGGCGCCCUCCGCUCCUCCCCGCCCUCCCCCUGGUCUCGCCCUGGCGCCUCCUGCCCGCGCCCACCUCACCUCGGGGCGGCCUCCCUCCCCGACCCCCGGCCCUGGCGUCCCGGCAAAUCCUGCAGCGCAAGAGCAAUGCCCUGCCACCUGACCUUCGCUCCGUCCCUCGCUCGAGCCUCGCUCCCCACAUCGCCCUUCCUUCUGACCUCCGGCGGGAGCCUCCUGACCGGACCCUCAGGGAUCCCCUCACCUCAGAGCGCUGCGCACGGGGCUAA